AGCUUUGCGCAGUGGCAGUAUCAUAGCCAAUGAGGUUUAUCUGAGGCGUGAUUAUUGCUAACUGAAUUUCUUUCCUCUUAUACUCUCAAUAUGCCUGCAGAUUUCCUGGGCUGAUUCAAUGUCUAAAUGUUUUCAUAUGUAA